rnacentral:tRNA from 1 species
GGUUUUGUAGUGUAGUGGUUAUCACUCCGGAUUUUGAUUCUCAGCCAAAAUAUUCCGGCAACCCCAGUUCGAAUCUGGGCAAGACCU